rnacentral:rRNA from 1 species
UACGUAGGUGGCAAGCGUUGUCCGGAUCUACUGGGCGUAAAGAGCGCGCAGGCGGUCGAUCAAGUCGCGUGUGAAAGCCCCCGGCUCAACUGGGGAGGGUCACGCGAUACUGAUCGACUCGAAGGCAGGAGAGGGUAGUGGAAUUCCCGGUGUAGUGGUGAAAUGCGUAGAUAUUGGGAAGAACACCGGUGGCGAAAGCGCUCUGCUGGACCUGCACUGACACUGAGGGACGAAAGCUAGGGGAGCGAAAGGG